rnacentral:rRNA from 1 species
AUACGGAGGGUGCAAGCGUUAUUCGGAAUCACUGGGCGUAAAGGACGCGUAGGCGGGUUGGCAAGUCAGAUGUGAAAUCCUACAGCUUAACUGUAGAACUGCAUUUGAAACUGCUAACCUAGAGUAUGGGAGGGGGCGAUGGAAUUAGUGGUGUAGGGGUAAAAUCCGUGGAUAUCACUAGGAAUACCGAAAGCGAAGGCGAUCUCCUGGAACAUAACUGACGCUAAGGCGUGAAAGCGUGGGGAGCAAACAGGAUUAGAUACCCCAGUAGUCC